CCUACGGGUGGCUGCAGUGGGGAAUAUUGGACAAUGGGGGGAACCCUGAUCCAGCCAUGCCGCGUGUGUGAAGAAGGCCCUCGGGUUGUAAAGCACUUUCAGUGAGGAAGAACGCCUGGUGGUUAAUACCCAUCAGGAAAGACAUCACUCACAGAAGAAGCACCGGCUAACUCCGUGCCAGCAGCCGCGGUAAUACGGAGGGUGCGAGCGUUAAUCGGAAUUACUGGGCGUAAAGCGCGCGUAGGUGGCUUGAUAAGCCGGUUGUGAAAGCCCCGGGCUCAACCUGGGAACGGCAUCCGGAACUGUCAAGCUAGGGUGCAGGAGAGGAAGGUAGAAUUCCCGGUGUAGCGGUGAAAUGCGUAGAGAUCGGGAGGAAUACCAGUGGCGAAGGCGGCCUUCUGGACUGACACUGACACUGAGGUGCGAAAGCGUGGGUAGCAAACAGGAUUAGAUACCCUUGUAGUC
rnacentral:rRNA from 1 species